UAGGGAAUCUUCCACAAUGGACGCAAGUCUGAUGGAGCAACGCCGCGUGAGUGAAGAAGGUCUUCGGAUCGUAAACUCUGUUGUUAGAGAAGACACGAGUGAGAGUAACUGUUCAUUCGAUGACGGUAUCUAACCAGCAAGUCACGGCUAACUACGUGCCAG
rnacentral:rRNA from 1 species